AUUGAACGCUGGCGGCAUGCUUUACACAUGCAAGUCGAGCGGGGGUAGAGGGGCAACUCUCUAUUCAGCGGCGGACGGGUGAGUAAUGCAUCGGAACGUAUCCCGUAGUGGGGGACACCCAGCGAAAGCUGGGCUAAUACCGCAUAUGCUCUGAGGAGGAAAGCAGGGGACCCAGCGGGCAACUGAGGGGCCUUGUGCUAUGGGAGCGGCCGAUGUCCGAUAGCUGGUUGGUGAGGUAAAGGCUUACCAAGGCGACGAUCGGUAGCUGGUCUGAGAGGAUGAUCAGCCACACUGGGACUGAGACACGGCCCAGACCUCCUACGGGAGGCAGCAGGUGGGGUAAUUUUGGACAAGU
rnacentral:rRNA from 1 species